rnacentral:rRNA from 1 species
AGCUCCAAUAGCGUAUAUUAAAGUUGUUGCGGUAAAAAAGCUCGUAGUUGGAUUUCUGUUGAGGAUGGCCGGUCCAUACCACGUAUGCGCAUCUGGUUUUUCAUCCUCGGCAUCCUCUCGAAAUACGCUGGUGUGCUUGAUUGCAUGUCGCGGAGUUCGGGACUUUUACUUUGAGGAAAUUAGAGUGUUCACGGCAGGCUAUCGCCCGAAUACGUUAGCAUGGAAUAAUAAUAUAGGAUCUCGAUUCUAUUUUGUUGGUUUCUAGGAUUGAGAUAAUGAUUAAUAGGGACAAUUGGGGGCAUUCGUAUCAAUACGUCAGAGGUGGAAUUCUUGGAUUGUAUUGCGACGAACUACUGCGAAAGCAUUUGCCAAGGAUGUUUUCA